GUUUUGCUUGUUUUUGUUUUCGUUUUAUUAAUUCCACCUCUCACUCCUCUGUUCCUCGUCCUCUCGUCUUCCGAUUGAUUGUGUCGGAAAAGCCCUGCCACUGCCAGCAUGCUUUCACUCGCCAAAACCUUGAUGCUGCCCCUGCAUCACCAAGGAAACAACCUCUCUUCAUGAAAAGCAGUGGUAAGGUUGCGUACACUGUGACUGUACUCCUGGCUUCCCCUACCUUUGCAAAGCAGGGAGCCGUGUAGCCUGCUGACUUCCUAUCAAAAGGUUGGAUGAUUUGUGUGUAGGGGAAAUUGAAAAUGAGAACAUAAUGCAAGCAGAUUGUAGAAACCUCACCGUCUAGAAACAAAGGGAACCACCCCAAAUGUAAGACCGCAGGCAGCUUGGACGAAGAAAGAAAAAGCAAUCAUCACCGCGAUGGAUGCACCAAGAGAUCCGAGCUGCCCCAGAAUGACACAGAACACACCGCCCAGGGUCUGCACCACCCACAAACUCCACAACCUACCUCUCAUCCCAAACCUCUUUCCUACUGCAUCUGAGAUUAUUCCUCCUGCAGGCCGAGAAACCAGAUUUGCCAAUCCAAAACUCGCAGCAAUAAUUCCUGCAGUGUGGAGUUUCAGAUUGAACUUGUCAUAAAAAUACUCUGCAAUUAUGUUGUCAAUUGUCAGCUCUAUCCCGAAACAGUACCCGUAAGUCAAUGCCAAAAUCCACCCUCUGUAAUUCGUGACUCCGUGAAAGAAAACCUGUGAAAAUUUAUCUUUUGGUUUGUCCCUAGAUUUUUGCAGCCUCUUGAAGUUCCCAUCUGGCAUGUCCUGGCCAAAGAUCAACACAGCAAAUGCUGAUAAGGUUUGAAACAGGGCAGGAACGAAGAAUGCUAUUCGCCAUGCUGUGAAUUUGGUUGCACUGAUGUCACAGAUGAGGGAAAACACAAGGGGCAUUAAAAGCUGCGUUGCUCCGCCCCCAAGGUUGCCCCAGCCUGCUGCGAUGCCAUUGGCAGCUCCAACUACUGGAGCAGAAAACAUGGAGCUCAUCCAGAAUUGAGUUGAUACAAAAGUUGCCAGGGAAAAACCUGUGAAAAACCGUACAAGAAGGAAGGAACGAGCAGAUGAAGCAACGGCGGUGAAGCAGACUGCGGGUGCAGUGAGGAGGAUGAGAGAGGCGGAGGCAAGACGGGGUCCAAACAGAUCACAUGCAGUCCCCAUGGCAAUUCGGGCAAAGACUGCACCGGAGACCGAUGCAAUUCCUGCAUUGCUAAUGUCAGUGGCUGUGAGGUUGAGGUUGUCGCGUAUCACCGGCAGAAGGGGUGGGGCUGCAAAGGUUGACACAAAACAUGCAAAGAACGAUAUCCAGGACAGAUGGAAUGCCCGCAUGUGGGGUGCUGCAGCCGAGAGUAGUCGCAACUCAGUUGCCUUGUGUUCAGAGUCAACUGGCUGUGCAAAUUUCUUAUGCUCAUUUUCUGUGGCAGAAUUGGCUCUUUCCAUAUUUGUACUGCUGGACUGGGGUGUAUGGAGCAACAAAUUGUGUUUCUGACUAUGGGAGAUACCGAGAUGGAAAGGGGAUGGAAGUUAGCUAGAUAGCUGGUGUCCUUACAUAGCAAAGUCCUUUUUGUUUUCAAAUGUUACAACCUCUGAAUUAAGAUUUCUCGUGCCUUUCUACUGUUGAUUGGUCUCGGAUCUUUUCUGAUGACUUGAGAGAGCAGGACAGCCGAAGAUAGCUUACCAAAUAUAGAAACUGGCUAUCCAGUGCCCCUCGCUUUUGACGGCUGGCAGAUUCUGAGACUCCAAAAUGUUUUGCCGUGAAAUUCCGUAUGGAAGGGGGUUGGGGGAGGGCGGGCAUAGGAAGCUGAGGGAAUCUCAGAACUCUGCAAUUCACAUUCUGAUUCUUUUGACUCUGGAUUCAGGAGUGAAAAUGUGAAAGGGUGUGGAUGAAAAAAUGGAAGGAAGGGUUGGGAAGUGGGUGCUUUGUGAAGUUUGAUUUUUAAUGGCCAACUGUAUGAGUGCUUUUCUGAAGUUCUCAUUUUCAAUGGUUGGUGGGAUGAACUGGGUUUGCGCCAGAAGGAGGGGCGUGUGGCGGCGCAUUGACCUUUGAAUCUGGAGCCAUCUGACGGAAUCCUGUGAAUCUGCAUUUAUUGACUUUGUAUUAAAUUCUCUUUCAACCUUAGAAAGUUAGAAUAAAAUGACAAAUAUGUCUCAAUUUUAUUUGACUGGUUAGGUAGAUAAAUUUGGAUUUUUGAAUCUGCAGUUCUGCAUAGAUUAAUGCCAUGCUACAGAUGCUUUGAUGGUCUGAAAGUUGUAGAUUUGUACUGUCACAUUACAAUUCUUUGUAAUGUUUAAUGAUAAGUGUCAUGUCUUGUUACAUAAUUAGAUAAUUAAUACAAUGUGGGUUGUGGGCA